rnacentral:lncRNA from 1 species
GCCUAGGCUGCUGAGGCGGCCAUCUAGACACAGAUUAAUAGCUCGCCAAUUUUUUGAACGAUUUUAGGAUAAUCGCAGCGGCAGACCGCCCUUUAAUACCUAGGAGGCCGUCUUGACCGCUUUUUAGAACAUUAGUGACAUGUGCUUCACACAUGAUUUGUGUUUAGGGUUAUUUGAUCAUUCUAACACUUUACUUCCCUUUUAUUUUAGUUUAUGUGACAAAUUGAAAAUUGUAUAUAAGUUUAUAUGACAUUUUAAAUGUUUUUCCAUAUAUAUAGCCUUGUAUGUAGCCCGAAAUAAAUAGUUCCUCGUUGGGAGAUAUUCUCUUAUAAAGUCCGAAGAUUCUUGAGAG